rnacentral:rRNA from 1 species
UACGUGGGAGGCGAGCGUUGUCCGGAAUUACUGGGCGUAAAGCGCACGUAGGCGGCUUGUUAAGUCGGAGGUGAAAUCCUGGAGCUCAACUCCAGAACUGCCUUCGAUACUGGCGAGCUCGAGUCCGGGAGAGGUGAGUGGAACUGCGAGUGUAGAGGUGAAAUUCGUAGAUAUUCGCAAGAACACCAGUGGCGAAGGCGGCUCACUGGCCCGAUACUGACGCUGAGGCACGAAAGCGUGGGGAGCAAACAGG